rnacentral:rRNA from 1 species
GAUGAACGCUAGCUACAGGCUUAACACAUGCAAGUCGAGGGGUAGCAGGGUAGCAAUACCGCUGACGACCGGCGCACGGGUGAGUAACACGUAUCCAACCUUCCCAUAACUCUGGGAUAGCCUUUCGAAAGAAAGAUUAAUACCGGAUGGUACUUUUUCAAGGCAUCUUGAGAAAGUUAAAGAUUUAUUGGUUAUGGAUGGGGAUGCGUUCCAUUAGAUAGUUGGUGAGGUAACGGCUCACCAAGUCUUCGAUGGAUAUGGGUUCCGGGAGGAAGGUCCCCCACAUUGGUACUGAGACACGGACCAAACUCCUACGGGAGGCAGCAGUGAGGAAUAUUGGUCAAUGGGCGAGAGCCUGAACCAGCCAAGUAGCGUGAAGGAUGAAGGUCCUAUGGAUUGUAAACUUCUUUUAUAGUAGAAUAAAGUGAUCCACGUGUGGAUUUUUGUAUGUAUACUAUGAAUAAGGAUCGGCUAACUCCGUGCCAGCAGCCGCGGUAA